CGUAGGGUGCGAGCGUUAAUCGGAAUUACUGGGCGUAAAGUGUGCGCAGGCGGCGUCGCAAGUCGAGUGUGAAAUCCCCGGGCUUAACUUGGGAAUUGCGCUCGAAACUACGAUGCUGGAGUAUGGCAGAGGAAGGUGGAAUUCCACGUGUAGCGGUGAAAUGCGUAGAGAUGUGGAGGAACACCGAUGGCGAAGGCAGCCUUCUGGGCCAAUACUGACGCUCAUGCACGAAAGCGUGGGGAGCAAACAGGAUUAGAUACCCUGGUAGUCCACGCCCUAAACGAUGAUGACUAGUUGUUGGAGGAGUUAAAUCCUUUAGUAACGCAGCUAACGCGUGAAGUCAUCCGCCUGGGGAGUACGGUCGCAAGAUUA
rnacentral:rRNA from 1 species